rnacentral:rRNA from 1 species
UACGGAGGGUGCGAGCGUUGUCCGGAAUCAUUGGGCGUAAAGGGCGCGUAGGUGGCGGCUUAAGCGUGCGGUGAAAGCUCGGGGCUCAACCCCGAGUCGGCCGUGCGAACUGAGUCGCUUGAGCACUGUAGGGGCAGGCGAAAUUCCGGGUGUAGCGGUGGAAUGCGUAGAGAUCCGGAAGAACACCGGUGGCGAAGGCGGCCUGCUGGGCAGUAGCUGACACUGAGGCGCGAAAGCGUGGGGAGCGAACAGG